ensembl:lncRNA
CCCAUUCCUAGCAACAUACACUAUGUUAAAGUGGCAAGAGAGAGAGUACCACAUACAUUACAUUCGUAAGAAGGAUGUUUUGCUGCUUUGAGAACAUGUCCUCCAGAUGCAAAAUGCUUUUGUGUUGUCAAUCAGAUUCUCCCUUUGGAUAGGUAUGUUGUUUAUGUGUCAAUAUAAGACUGCCCUGGAGAGUCAGCCUCAUGUUUCUCCAAGGCUCUGGAGUUCUUGAAGGGUCAUCAAGAGGCUGUCCCAGCCAAACCUCAAAGAUCUGAUUUCCUCUUAGCAGUUUUCAGCUCUAAAGUUGUUACUGCAGAUGAGUAGAGUGAAUUGUGCCUAGGAGCACCCUAAAAGGAAUGACCCUGAGAUGAUCAAUACAUCUCUGUAACAAUUCUGUUGGGUGUUCACGGGGUUAACUUUAUUAAGUAAUCCAUUGUACUUGCACCUUUAUGGUAUGCGAGGCUGGUAGAUACAUACAGAUGGUUUGUUCAGGGAAGGGGAAAAUAUAUAAGCUUGACAAUGAUUAAUAUUUGUUAUUAUUUCAUUACAACAGCAGCUGUAAGUUCUAGUCAAGGUCAGGAUCUCACUGUGCACUGGAAAGAUGCUUUUAUGCCAUCAGCAGUCCCUGCACAACAGAGUCUGAAGUGUGAAUUAACAGACACAGGAAAAGAAUGUUUUUAUUUCUAUUUUAUAAAGAGACUAACCAAUUUCACCAACACUUGGUCACAUGAUAGAACCAAGUUUCUUUAAUAUCAUUUUCACCACCUUAAUUAUAAACCAUGGCUUUCUCCCUAAGGCAGAUGACUCUGAGUUGAACAUUGCAUAAUGCAAAUACCCAGCAACUAUGGCAAAGGUCCAAAGAUGUACUCCGGAACAGUGAAUAGACAUGGGUCACAGAAGAGCUCUUAACCUCUGUACUUUUCAUUGUGAGUGGAGGACUCCUGAUGCAACUGGGACCAUGUCUAAUACUCUGCCAGUUAGACAGACAAACUCUGGCUGUGGUGGCUUUGCAGUUGACUUAAUAUUUCUUCCUUGUUAUCUAUAAAUCAGUUGAACACUGUGAUUUUUCUUGGAUUCUCCCCUGGCCCCUCAGUAUGCUAACACCUAUAGUUCUGUGUACUGUACGUUGAAGUUUCCUGUUAGGAAGAAUCACAAUGGAUAUAAAACAUGUUUUGCUCAUUACAGGGGUUCCACAGACUAGGUAUUUAUGGUUAAGCUAAUUUUACAUGAGAUUUGUCUAGUUUUUGAGAUUGGCCAUUAAGUCUACAAAGAGAGGUGCAAGAAUCCUACAAUAAGCCAAUGUGGUAGAAAGUUAACUUUUGUACAAAUUCAGGAUAUGUGUACUUUUCUAUUUGUUGAGGCUAGCAAAUUAAUUCAGCAUGUUUUUUUAC